rnacentral:misc_RNA from 1 species
CCAAUAGCGUAUAUUAAAGUUGUUGCAGUUAAAAAGCUCGUAGUUGAAUUUCGGGAUUAGUACGCUGGUCGUGCCUUCGGUAUGUACUGGUGUUACUGGUUCCUACCUUCUGACGAACCGUCAUGUCAUUAAUUUGGUGUGGCGGGAAAUCAGGACUGUUACUUUGAACAAAUUAGAGUGUUUAAAGCAGGCUCGCGCUUGAAUACAUUAGCAUGGAAUAAUGAAAUAGGACGUUCGAUCCUAUUUUGUUGGUUUCUAGGAUUGACGUAAUGAUUAAUAGGGAUAGUUGGGGGCAUUAGUAUUCAAUUGUCAGAGGUGAAAUUCUUGGAUUUAUUGAAGACUAACUACUGCGAAAGCAUUUGCCAAGGAUGUUUUCAUUAAUCAAGAACGAAAGUUAGGGGAUCGAAGACGAUCAGAUACCGUCGUAGUCUUAACCAUAAACUAUGCCGACUAGGGAUCGGAUGAUGUUAUUUUUAAUGACUCAUUCGGCGCCUUACG